CGCGUAGGUGGUUUGAUAAGGGUGUGGUGAAAGUCCGGGGCUCAACCCCGGAUCUGCCGUGCCGACUGUCAAACUCGAGGACUGUAGAGGCAGACGGAAUUCCGGGUGUAGCGGUGGAAUGCGUAGAGAUCCGGAGGAAGACCGGUGGCGAAGGCGGUCUGCUGGGCAGUUUCUGACACUGAGGCGCGACAGCGUGGGGAGCAAACA
rnacentral:rRNA from 1 species